UUGGAGGGCAAGUCUGGUGCCAGCAGCCGCGGUAAUUCCAGCUCCAAUAGCGUAUAUUAAAGUUGUUGUGGUUAAAAAGCUCGUAGUUGAACCUUGGGCCUGGCUGGCCGGUCCGCCUCACCGCGUGCACUGGUCCGGCCGGGCCUUUCCCUCUGCGGAACCCCAUGCCCUUCACUGGGUGUGGCGGGGAAACAGGACUUUUACUUGAAAAAAUUAGAGUGCUCAAGGCAGGCUAUGCUCGAAUACAUUAGCAUGGAAUAAUAGAAUAGGA
rnacentral:rRNA from 1 species